GACGAACGCUGGCGGCGUGCUUAACACAUGCAAGUCGAACGGUGAAGCGAGUGCUUGCACUCGUGGAUCAGUGGCGAACGGGUGAGUAACACGUGAGUAACCUGCCCAUCACUCUGGGAUAAGCACUGGAAACGGUGUCUAAUACUGGAUACGACCAACCCUUGCAUGGGGUGUUGGUGGAAAGAUUUAUCGGUGAUGGAUGGACUCGCGGCCUAUCAGCUUGUUGGCGGGGUAAUGGCCCACCAAGGCGACGACGGGUAGCCGGCCUGAGAGGGUGACCGGCCACACUGGGACUGAGACACGGCCCAGACUCCUACGGGAGGCAGCAGUGGGGAAUAGUGCACAAUGGGCGAAAGCCUGAUGCAGCGACGCCGCGUGGGGGAUGACGGCCUUCGGGUUGUAAACCUCUUUCAGCAGGAAGAAGCGAAAGUGACGGUACCUGCAGAAGAAGCACCGGCUAACUACGUG
rnacentral:rRNA from 1 species